AUUUAUGUGGCUUUCUCAAACACCCUUGGAAUCCUCUUGAGUGGGAUUUCAAAAUUCGAACACCCUUGAAAUCUAGCGGGCUUUCAAAUUUCAAACACUCCUGAUUUUCAGAUCCUAAACAAUCUACUCCUAUAUCUUCUCAAACCACCAACCCACCUCUCUCCCCUCUAAUCCAUGCAUUCCGCCGCCAGUGAUUAUACCCCUGUUUCUCCCCUUCUUUUCCUUCUAUAAUCACCAUUCUCACUAUCAAAAUUAGGUGUUGUUUAAUUCUAUCAUGUGACGGUGGUUACAUGUGCUCCAAAUAGCCGAGACAACAUCUGAGAACACAUCUAUAGUAACGAUGACGGUGAUUUAUUCCGGUGAAGAUUCUAGAGUUCCGAUGACAUCAGCUUCUCUGACAAGCUUCGGGUAACCCAUGAUGACCACCGACGAAGAUGGUUCAAGACGCCGACAACUGCUCCGGUGACGACGACCGUUAUCAAUCAUCUACAAUGUCGUUGCUGGUGCUUCUUCUGGGUUAUUGUUGCUACUUUCUAAUGUCCUUUAGAUGGAAUCAAAAUGAGGUUUCCGGCUCAUGGUCUUCCGCACGGUGGAACUAAGAUGUUCUUGGGUUUGAGAUUGUGUUCUUUUAUAUGGUAGAUCCUCCUCCUAACACUACAACCUUGACUACAAGAUUCAGCUCUUUAGUCUUGUUUUGUUCCUGUUGUAGUAUUACUUGUAAAAGUUAUUAGCAAUACUAUAGAGUUCAUACACUUUGUUGAAAUUCGUGAUAAGGUCUUGCUUUCUGCAACACGCACAGACCCGUUAUGCAACUGUGAACUCUGUCAGUUUUGUUCGUUUGUUUCUGUUCGAUUGUAGAGGUAAUUAAUGCAGUCCUCCAUUUCGGUUUUGUAUUAUGCAGCAAAUAAAGGUAUAAUGCUUCACAUCUUUAUUCUUCCACUAUAUAGUGUUAUAUUAUGGAUGUCCAACUAUGAAUCUUUGUUAUAUCUUAGAGGAGAGUUGUUGGUCUUCAUAAAUUUAUAACCGUUGGAUCAACGGAUAUAACUGAUACAUGGGAACAACUAGAGGAGGGCUUACUUCCGUAAGAUCUAUAAAAAAUGAAUGGUCUUUGAUAUUGUAUGAAAGUGGCAAAUAUUUGGCAUUUCAUAAAAAUAUGAUUAUUGUUUAAUUUUAUUUAAGUUUUGUGCUUUUACAGUCUAGAAACCGAAAAGCAUGUUUCAAGGAUCAUUGUAACUCUUUCUAAGAGGGAACUGAAUACGUCCGGUUUGUCUUCUCCAGCAUUUAUUUUGCUUCACUGAUCUUAGAUUUAAUUCGUUAAAAUAUUGAGCGAUUUGGUUAAUGAAUUAGUAUAUACAUAAUAUGUUUGUUUAUAUUUUAGAAAUUAUGAGAAGCUUGAACCCAUUUUGACCCGUCGUCCUACCCGAUCUAAUCCGCCCAUUUAGCGAGGCAUAACUGCAAAUUUUGCACUUUUUGUCUUCCAAGUUCCACUUUCACCAUUUUAUGUUUUAUUUUUCGUUUCUUAUGGCGAUGAUAGAUUUCCCACCCGUUGUUACGUGCGGGAUAAAAAUGUAUGAUACUUAGUUGACAAAAACUUAACAGUUAAUUUAAAACUUUUCUCACUGACAGAAAAAAACCAAAUACUAUUAAAUUAAGCUUUUUUGUGUUUUUUUACUUACCAGAAAGUGUUGGCCAGUAUUGAGCAAUGUACUGAUCUUUUACAAAGACACACUUCUGAAGACUUGGAAUGUGCUUUGAGUUUCUAUCUGAUUUUGCAGUUGAGGAGGUAUGAAGUGGUCAUUCAGACUCUUAUAGCUGAUAAAGCAGAUACAUCCACAAGCUCUUCUUCUAGGCCAUGGAGAUCACAUAUCAUCAUUAAAUCUUUUUUUUAAACAUAGAUAACAAUAUCAUUCCACAUGAAAAAGGGCAAUUACAAAGCAAUGGCAAAAACUACCUACUUUUAUUUAGGAAGGCUAGAUGAGGCUCUAGAGUUCUUACAAAAACUAGAGAAUUCAGACCAUGUUACAAAAAGCUUUGAAUCUCCUCCAUUUGCAUCAAUAUACUUUUGCAAUCGCACUGCAACGUACCAAGCUUUGGGUCAAAUCACAGAUGUCAAUGCAAAUUGAAGCCUAGCUAUAGCCCUUGAUCUAAACUAUCUCAAGGUUCAUUUAUGUUCUAUCCAACGCGUCAAACGGGUUAAAUCAAAAUAUAUAUUUAUUUAUUUUUAGUUAAAAAGGGAAUGGGUAAACAAUUGUCUAAAGUGUUUUUAUUAUUUUGUAAGAGGUUGUAAAACAAUGUAAAUUGAUUGUAAAAAGUGUUUGUAAGUAUAAGACCAUUAUCAUACAAUUUGGGCUUGA